AAUUCUCAACCUUUCUGGCUUUCGCAAGCUAGAUUGGCUUGGAUCGUGGGAGUUUGCAGGCCUGAAAAGCCAGCUCUCCUGAAAUGCAUUAGCAAAGAUCAGUGCUGGUCAUCUUUGGUAUGAUAAUUAUCGAUAUCAUUGAUGACAUAGCUUCCUUUGAAAAAGGGUCUUGCUUCCAACUGUCUAUUUGCAAAGGACACCAUCUGACCA
rnacentral:misc_RNA from 1 species